rnacentral:tRNA from 1 species
GACCCACCGUGGCGUAGUGGUUUGAGUAUUGGACUAUGACUCUGGAGACCAGGGUUUGAUUCCCUGCUUGGUCA